UCUUAAAUGUUAAUCACAUCAAGAACAGAAAUUGGUACUAAUCUUAGAAGAAAAGUGGAGGAGUUGUGAGGUCUGUCCGCACAUAGACACCGGAAACUCUCCGAAUCUAACGCCGAACCACAAAUCCCACCGGAAUCAAUGCAUCUCCGGCAAGCUUUGUCUUCCAUGAUGUACCUCAAAUCGAAUCCUUUUCUCAAAGCUUCCACAAAAGUUAGUUCGGACCGUUGAAGCUCGUCCUUAGCAGACCUCAGCAUCGGAAUUUCUGCAUAUUUCAUACAACCUUCGUCAGAAUCCGACGAUCGCAAGACAUGAUAUGUCACCGGAUCCUCGUAGCUUUCUUCGCAAGAAAUCUGCAACGGAGCUACGCCGGAACAGUUGACGAAUACAUCGAUCGUCUCGGUGUUGGAGUCUAAUGUGAACUGAUUCUUCCCGUUGAAGUUCCAAAUGUUUAGGCAACCUCCGUCUAGUAGACUAUCAUCGGCAACGGAAAUUUUAUGAUCCUCCAGAUUCGCAGAAACAACGCGAAGAGUGAUGUUCCCGAUCGCUAGGGUUAGGUUUUGAUCACCCUCGCAGGAGAGUUUGAAUGACGAAUGACCGCAGAAUUUGGGUUUAUUGAAUCCACCCCAGAACGGAUACGUGGUACUCUCGAAUACCCUGUGUCCAGAUCCACAUGUCAGAUUACGUGAGCGACACUCCUCGUACUGUUGAUCGGCUGAGAAGCACGACGGGAGGUCAGCGACGGAGAAGACGACGAAGCUGAUGAAGAAAAAAAAGAUGGACAUUGG